rnacentral:rRNA from 2 species
GGGGAAUAUUGGGCAAUGGGGGCAACCCUGACCCAGCAACGCCGCGUGAGGGAAGAAGGUUUUCGGAUUGUAAACCUCUGUCCUAUGGGAAGAAGGAAGUGACGGUACCAUAGGAGGAAGCCCCGGCUAACUACGUGCCAGCAGCCGCGGUAAUACGUAGGGGGCGAGCGUUGUCCGGAAUUACUGGGCGUAAAGGGUGCGCAGGUGGCCUAACAAGUCAGAUGUGAAAUACCGAUGCUUAACGUCGGGGCUGCAUUUGAAACUAUGAGGCUGGAGUGCAGGAGAGGGAAGCGGAAUUCCUAGUGUAGCGGUGAAAUGCAUAGAUAUUAGGAGGAACACCAGUGGCGAAGGCGGCUUUCUGGACUGUAACUGACACUGAGGCACGAAAGCGUGGGGAGCAAACA